GACGAACGCUGGCGGCGUGCUUAACACAUGCAAGUCGAACGGAAAGGCCCUGCUUUUGUGGGGUGCUCGAGUGGCGAACGGGUGAGUAACACGUGAGUAACCUGCCCUUGACUUUGGGAUAACUUCAGGAAACUGGGGCUAAUACCGGAUAGGAGCUCCUGCUGCAUGGUGGGGGUUGGAAAGUUUCGGCGGUUGGGGAUGGACUCGCGGCUUAUCAGCUUGUUGGUGGGGUAGUGGCUGACCAAGGCUUUGACGGGUAGCCGGCCUGAGAGGGUGACCGGCCACAUUGGGACUGAGAUACGGCCCAGACGCCUACGGGAGGCAGCAGUGGGGAAUAUGGCACAAUGGGCGGAAGCCUGAUGCAGCAACGCCGGGUGCGGGAUGACGGCCUUCGGGUUGUGAACCGCUGUCGCCUGUGACGAAGCGUGAGUGACGGUAAUGGGUAAAGAAGCACCGGCUAACUACGUG
rnacentral:rRNA from 1 species